UAGGGAAUCUUCGGCAAUGGGGGCAACCCUGACCGAGCAACGCCGCGUGAGUGAAGAAGGUUUUCGGAUCGUAAAGCUCUGUUGUAAGAGAAGAACGUGUGUGAGAGUGGAAAGUUCACACAGUGACGGUAACUUACCAGAAAGGGACGGCUAACUACGUGCCAGCAGCCGCGGUAAUACGUAGGUCCCGAGCGUUGUCCGGAUUUAUUGGGCGUAAAGCGAGCGCAGGCGGUUUAAUAAGUCUGAAGUUAAAGGCAGUGGCUUAACCAUUGUUCGCUUUGGAAACUGUUAAACUUGAGUGCAGAAGGGGAGAGUGAAUUCCAUGUGUAGCGGUGAAAUGCGUAGAUAUAUGGAGGAACACCGGUGGCGAAAGCGGCUCUCUGGUCUGUAACUGACGCUGAGGCUCGAAAGCGUGGGGAGCAAACAGG
rnacentral:rRNA from 1 species